AUACACUCAGUCUUCAGGAGGAGGCAUCCCCUCUGGGUGCAGAACUUCCACCGUGGCUGCUUGCUCAGGAUAAACUGGUGGGACCAUGACUCAUUUUGUCACUGGGACCACAGGAGGAGGGGCCAGAAGACAAUGAAGUGUGCGGUGAGCACUCUCACAUUUCGUUAGAUGCACCGUCUCUGAACCAGCUUACUCAGAACUUCAGGAUGGCGGUGUGCAGUUACCAACUGUUAAGUCAAAGAUUCUGGACUGUUUAGGCUGUGCCUCGGGAAAUCAUUGCCUCUAUGAAGUUGUCCAAGGCGAGCUUGAUAAGCCUCUGAAGGCACAGAAGAACUGUUUGGAGAGGGACCUAUACAUCUCGAUCUACAGCUACAGCGUCAUAUGCUACCCCUCAGAAACGGACCUUUUAAUGAUUUCAUCCUGUCAAAAAUCGCAUAUUUCAAAACAUUAGAAAGUUGACUUGCACAAAUAUAAAACAAGCAUGGAUCAGGAUGCUUCACCGUGUGCUCCAUAAGCUACUCAUCUGAUGUUUCAUAGGAAGCAGAAGAAAUUCCCAGCAAAGUGACCUGUGUUGCAAGACUCAAAAGAGGGAGAGAGAGAGUUGGCUCAGCUGGUGAAGAGCUUGAUGGACAUGAAGACCUGAGCUUGGAUCUCCCAACAUCUUUGUGAAAGGACGGGCACAGCCCCUGAAUCUCCAGAGCUGUGACAAUGGAAGCAAUGGAUCCUCAGAGCUUGCUGGCCAGCCAACCUGCUUGAGUUCAGCUCUAGAUUCUGUGUGACCCUGACUCAAAAACUAAGGCGUGGAGUGACUGAAGAAGAGAUCUGAUGUCAACCACUUGUUCUUAUUUACACACACACACACACACUCUUAAAUAAAAAUUAAAUUAUUUGUUGAAAAUGACAAAAAGAUGGACACCAUUCAGUUAGAAGUGGCAGCUACCAAGGGGCUUGUCUUGUGGUGCUCUUUUAUCAACAGUUUCUGAUUCCUUUGACAUAGCAAGUGGCAGUCAGAUAUUCCUGGGAGCCGGUUUCCAGUCACAAAUCCCAGUUCCCUUUCUCCCCGUUUUGUUCAGGUUCUGCCACUGUCUUGAGUAUGCUCUUUUGUGCUUACUAAAGCUGUGCUGUGUGGAAGAGUCAUCUGUUUGUUCCUUGUUCUUCAGUGGGCUGAGUGAUGGACCCCUCCCUCUUUACAGAUAAUAGAUCUGUGAGAAAUCUCACACCACUGGGACCUUAUUUGGGCUUAGAGAUUUGCUGGUGUAGUUGAGAGGCUUGGGAGAAGAACACAAUGGUUAAUUUGGUUGUUGACUGUUAGGAUCUGAAAUCACUUAGGAGAUAAACUUCUGGGUGUAUCUUUGAGGAAGAUUCUAGAUAGAGUUACUUGGGAUUAGAAGACUCAGUCUGACUGUGGAUUGUGGAGAAUUUUAGGACACAUUGCUAAAAAUGUCUCCUGGGAACCCAGUCUUCCUCUUAAAACAUGAAUGAAAAUCUCUUUCUUAGGGUUGGCUGGCCAGCUCUUCACACAUUUCCUUGUACAUCAUUCUGCCGUUCGUGAGCACGGGAGCUUGCACUCACUGAUCUCCAGUACCUGGGCCACCUUCGUGUCUCAGUUGCUUAUUUUCUUGAGCAGUCUAGGGUUGUGUAAUCCUGAGAGUCUUGAGGCCGUUAGAUUAUUGCUGGUAGAGAAGAGGCCACGAAGGGGCAGGAGACACAAGGAACCAUUCGUGUGGCAGGUGGUGAUCACAGAGAAAAAGCAGAGCUAACGGUGGAAGAUUUGAGAUAUGGAACCUAGUAAUUAUAGAUUUUUUGCACAAAUUAUGAGACUCUGCUUCUUUUUUAUUUUUUGAAAGAUAGUCUCAUUACGUAGCUCCUUCCUAUGCAGACCAGGCUGGCCUUGGACGCAGAGAUUGGCCUGAUUCUGCUGGGACUAAGGCCACUAAACCUGGCGACAGUGAAAACUUUGUGCAUAAAACCUAAGGUUUCUCCCUUUGGUAUCCUUGAUUUCCUUCUACACAGGAACGAUAUUUAGCAAGCACACAACACUCACAAUAUACUAAAUACAGUUCUAUGUGUUAUGUAAAUAACUUGCUUAGUUUCCGGGCAAACCUAUAAGGGGUAUUGUCACUGUCCACAUCGUACU
ensembl:lincRNA D6Ertd474e DNA segment, Chr 6, ERATO Doi 474, expressed